GUGGGGGAUAUUGCACAAUGGGGGAAACCCUGAUGCAGCAACGCCGCGUGAAGGAAGAAGGUCUUCGGAUUGUAAACUUUUGUCUUGCGGGACGAAUAAUGACGGUACCGCAGGAGGAAGCCACGGCUAACUACGUGCCAGCAGCCGCGGUAAUACGUAGGUGGCGAGCGUUGUCCGGAAUUACUGGGUGUAAAGGGUGCGUAGGCGGAUUUGUAAGUCAGGUGUGAAAACUAUCGGCUUAACCGGUAGCCUGCACUUGAAACUGUAAGUCUUGAGUGGUGAAGAGGUAAGCGGAAUUCCUAGUGUAGCGGUGAAAUGCGUAGAUAUUAGGAGGAACACCAGUGGCGAAGGUGGCUUACUGGGCACUAACUGACGCUGAGGCACGAAAGCAUGGGGAGCAAACAGGAUUAGAAACCCGGGUAGUCC
rnacentral:rRNA from 1 species